rnacentral:rRNA from 1 species
UCCGUAGGUGAACCUGCGGAGGGAUCAUUACCGAGUGAGGGCUCACGCCCGACC